GAAUUUUGAACAUUAACCAAUAUAAAAAUAAUUCAACAUGGCGACUGUCUUGACAGUGGUACAAUUUGCGGUAUAUCUUAUAUGUUCCAAUGCCUUAUUGGAACAAGGACUUCCGACCACACCAACACUCCCUGAUACUGAAGCAGCAUAUAUACAUCAGAUUCUAAACCAGGAAUCAAUUCUUAGAAUGAAGCUGGAAAUUCAUAUGACAAGUCUACAAUCAACCGUCUACACAAUGCAGCAAGAUUUAAAUUACUUAAAAUAAAAGCGGAAAACCUGGUAUUGAAGAAUACUUCCCCACCAGGUAAAAGAUUUAAUGUAAAAAGAUAAUACAAAAUAUUUUUUUAAAAGCAGGGACUCCUCUGUUAUCUGCACUGAACUUCCCUGUUUUUUUUUGUAUUUUAUGAGAUAAAAUAUGAAGAAUAUAACACAGAAAAUUUAUUGUUUUAGUAUUGAAUGUGCAUUUAUCAGUUGACAAGUUGACGUGCUGAUAAUAGAAAACAGACAUAUAACUAUGCCACACUCUGUAUGUAUGUGUCUGUCCCGAGCUUAAGUCUGGAGCCUGUAAUUCAGUGGUUGUCGUUUGUUGCUGUGUUACAUAUAUGGCUUUCGUUCAUUAUUUUGUACAUAAAUUAUGCCUGUUGUUUUCUUGUUUUCUUGUUUGACAUUUGUCAUUUCGGGGCCUUUUAUUGCUUGAAAUUGCGGUAUUGGCCUUGCUCUUUUUUUCACUGUACCUGCACUCCCAGUUUUUGGCGGGGUUCGUGUUGCUUAGUCUUCAGGUUUCUAUGUUGUGUCUUGUGCUUGUGUACUAUUAGUUGUCUGCUUGUUUUCUCUUUUUUAGCCAAGGCGUUGUCAAUUUGUUUUCGAUCUAUGAGUUGGUCUUUUAAGUAAGGACUUUUUCAUUCACAAAUAAAAUUCGACAAUAAGUUUUAACAUUUUAUUUAGGAGCAGUGAUGUUUUCUGCCUAUUUGUCCAAGAGUGUAACUAACCCAAAUGCUGAACAGGUAAUCAUCUUCGAUAAAACGUGGGUAAAUACACACAACGUAUAUAAUU
rnacentral:lncRNA from 1 species